AGACUCUUGUUUUGGCACGGGAGACUCGCUCUCUCGUUGCUGUUGACAGAGUGUGUGCGGGCAUUGUUGGGAAUGUUGCGCUUGCCGCUUGGCGCACACCACCGGGGAGAUGCUGGCGACAGGGCUGCAAACGGCCCGUCUUGAAACACGGACCAAGGAGUCUAACAUGUGCGCGAGUGUUUUAGCGAGCAUGAAGCUAGGGCGCGCAAUGAAAGUGAGAGGUGGGAUGCAGUGUUGGCAAGUGUGCGUGAGUACACUUUUAUCUGGCACUCGCAGCACCAUCGACCGAUCUGGAUUGGGGGAGGGGGAAAAGCACUUUUGUGUGGCUCCACCUCCUCCGCUGAAGGAUUUGCGUUUUAGCGCAGAUGUUAGGACCCGAUAGAUGGUGAACUAUGCCUGAGUAGGGCGAAGCCAGAGGAAACUCUGGUGGAGGCUCGUAGCGAUCAUGACGUGCAAAUCUGUCGUCGAACUUGGGUAUAGGGGCGAAAGACUCAUCGAACCAUCUAGUAGCUGGUUCCCACCGAAGUUUCCCUCAGGAUAGCUGAGACUUUUUUUGCAAUGUGGUUAGUUUUAUCUGGUAAAGCGAAUGAUUAGAGGCCUUGGGGGAGCCACUUCCCUCAACCUAUUCUCAAACUUUAAAUGGGUAAGGCGGCGCGCUUUCUUUGUUUAUGAAGCGGGCAAUGCUGAAUAACCGAGUCUCAAGUGGGCCAUUUUUGGUAAGCAGAACUGGCGAUGCGGGAUGAACCGAACGCGGAGUUAGGGUGCCGGAAUCGACGCUCAUGAGAACCCACAAAAGGUGUUGGUUGAUAUAGACAGCAGGACGGUGGCCAUGGAAGUCGGAAUCCGCUAAGGAGUGUGUAACAACUCACCUGCCGAAUCAACUAGCCCUGAAAAUGGAUGGCGCUCAAGCGUCGUACCUAUACUCCGCUGUGUGUGGAAGAAAGUGAGCGAAGCGAGCAUUCGUGCUUGUUGCGUCUCAAAACUACAUGUAGCCACACACAAGUAGGUGGGCGUGGAGGUGUUUGCGUGAGAGCAAAUUUUUGAUUUACCGUUGAAGCCUGUGGCGUGAGCCUGGGUGGAGGGGCCUCCAGUGCAGAUCUUGGUGACAGUAGCAACGAUUCAAAUGAGAGCUUUGAAGACUGAAGUGGAGCAAGGUUCCGUGGGAACAGCAGUUGGCCACGGGUGAGUCGGUCCUAAGAGAUGGGGCAGUCCUGUGUCAAGUGGGGAGUUGUUGCGUGUGUGCAGGUGGUGGUGAUAUUCUCGCCAUGCUUGCGCACGUGUUGAUUACCCCAGUCCAUCGAAAGGGAACCAGGUUAAGAUUCCUGGACCAACGCACGCCACAAAGAAUGUUUUGAUAGAGCAGCGGCAACGCGUACAAACUCGGAGACGCUGCCGGGGGCCCUGGAAAGAGUUUUCUUUUCUUUUUAACGAGCUGCAUUGUGGGGGGGAGUAGG
rfam:Salpingoeca sp. ATCC 50818 unplaced genomic scaffold supercont1.42, whole genome shotgun sequence.